GAGGCAGCAGUCGAGAAGCUUCGGCAAUGGGCGAAAGCCUGACCGAGCGACGCCGCGUGAGUGACGAAGGUCCUACGGAUUGUAAAGCUCUGCCAGAUUGGGAAGAAAACUCCGGGGUUAAUACCCUCGGAGCUUGACGGUACCAUCAGAGGAAGCACCGGCUAACUCCGUGCCAGCAGCCGCGGUAAUACGGAGGGUGCAAGCGUUGUUCGGAUUCACUGGGUAUAAAGGGUGCGUAGGCGGCUUGGUAAGUCAGGGGUGAAAUCUGUCGGCUUAACCGGCAAACCGCCCCUGAAACUGCCUGGCUUGAGUCCGGGAGAGGAAGGUGGAAUUCCUGGUGUAGCGGUGAAAUGCGUAAAUAUCAGGAGGAACACCGGUGGCGAAGGCGGCCUUCUGGUCCGGUACUGACGCUGAGGCACGAAAGCUAGGGGAGCGAACGGGAUUAGAUACCCCGGUAGUCCUAGCCGUAAACGAUGGGCACUAGGUGUUGGAGGAGUCUACCCCUCCGGUGCUGCAGCUAAUGCAUUAAGUGCCCCACCUGGGGAGUACGGUCGCAAGGCUGAAACUCAAAGGAAUUG
rnacentral:rRNA from 1 species